AAAUAAAUUACAUUAGCAAAACUGGAGAUGACCAACAUCGUUGAAAUUCGAAGGACAUAUUUCUCGAUGGGUAUAUAAAAUCGAUGGUUUCCUAUUGCUCGAUACCAGAGUCGAGAAAUAUCUUGAAGAAUUUGCACAGCGGAGAGAACUUUUUGUCCCAGCAACAUGAUUCGUAUCCUGAUGAUUUUUAUCCUUGCUCUCGCAUCGAGCAACGUCGAAGGUGCGCCAUAUCCACCCCUGUUGCCUGGACAUCCACUAGUUUUACCGGCGAGUUAUGUGAAGUUUGUGCAUCCAGGGUUUGCACCGUUGCCUUAUCAUCCAGGGUUGAGCUGGGUCCACCCACCUUCCGUUUUUCUUCCGCAUCAUUAUUAAGGAGACGUAUGCAAAUAUUUUGUCUUUCGUUUCCAUCUCACGUAUUAUCGAUUUGCGUCGCUAGCAAAUUUCAAUAAACGCAUUAUAAAAUCGCA